rnacentral:rRNA from 1 species
AUUGAACGCUGGCGGCAGGCCUAACACAUGCAAGUCGAACGGUAACAGGAAGAAGCUUGCUUCUUUGCUGACGAGUGGCGGACGGGUGAGUAAUGUCUGGGAAACUGCCUGAUGGAGGGGGAUAACUACUGGAAACGGUAGCUAAUACCGCAUAACGUCGCAAGACCAAAGAGGGGGACCUUCGGGCCUCUUGCCAUCGGAUGUGCCCAGAUGGGAUUAGCUAGUAGGUGGGGUAACGGCUCACCUAGGCGACGAUCCCUAGCUGGUCCGAGAGGAUGACCAGCCACACUGGAACUGAGACACGGUCCAGACUCCUACGGGAGGCAGCAGUGGGGAAUAUUGCACAAUGGGCGCAAGCCUGAUGCAGCCAUGCCGCGUGUAUGAAGAAGGCCUUCGGGUUGUAAAGUACUUUCAGCGGGGAGGAAGGGAGUAAAGUUAAUACCUUUGCUCAUUGACGUUACCCGCAGAAGAAGCACCGGCUAACUCCGU